UGCAGUCGAACGGUGAAGGCGGAGCUUGCUCUGCUGGAUCAGUGGCGAACGGGUGAGUAACACGUGAGCAAUCUGCCCCUGACUCUGGGAUAAGCGCUGGAAACGGCGUCUAAUACUGGAUACGAGCUGCGAAGGCAUCUUCAGCAGCUGGAAAGAACUUCGGUCAGGGAUGAGCUCGCGGCCUAUCAGCUUGUUGGUGAGGUAACGGCUCACCAAGGCGUCGACGGGUAGCCGGCCUGAGAGGGUGACCGGCCACACUGGGACUGAGACACGGCCCAGACUCCUACGGGAGGCAGCAGUGGGGAAUAUUGCACAAUGGGCGAAAGCCUGAUGCAGCAACGCCGCGUGAGGGACGACGGCCUUCGGGUUGUAAACCUCUUUUAGCAGGGAAGAAGCGAAAGUGACGGUACCUGCAGAAAAAGCGCCGGCUAACUACGUGCCAGCAGCCGCGGUAAUACGUAGGGCGCAAGCGUUAUCCGGAAUUAUUGGGCGUAAAGAGCUCGUAGGCGGUUUGUCGCGUCUGCUGUGAAACCCCGAGGCUCAACCUCGGGCCUGCAGUGGGUACGGGCAGACUAGAGUGCGGUAGGGGAGAUUGGAAUUCCUGGUGUAGCGGUGGAAUGCGCAGAUAUCAGGAGGAACACCGAUGGCGAAGGCAGAUCUCUGGGCCGUAACUGACGCUGAGGAGCGAAAGGGUGGGGAGCAAACAGGCUUAGAUACCCUGGUAGUCCACCCCGUAAACGUUGGGAACUAGUUGUGGGGUCCAUUCCACGGAUUCCGUGACGCAGCUAACGCAUUAAGUUCCCCGCCUGGGGAGUACGGCCGCAAGGCUAAAACUCAAAGGAAUUGACGGGGACCCGCACAAGCGGCGGAGCAUGCGGA
rnacentral:rRNA from 1 species